UACAGGAGGGGCAAGCGUUUAUUCGGAAUUAUUGGGCGUAAAGGGCGCGUAGGCGGCUUUGCAAGUGGCGGGUGAAAUCCCUCGGCUUAACCGAGGAACUGCCUGCCAGACUGUGAGGCUUGAGACCGGGGAGAGGUGAGUGGAAUUCCCAGUGUAGCGGUGAAAUGCGUAGAUAUCAGGAGGAACACCGGUGGCGAAGGCGGGUCUCUGGGCCGAUACUGACGCUGGAGGAGCGAAAGCGUGGGGAGCGAACAGG
rnacentral:rRNA from 1 species